rnacentral:rRNA from 1 species
GACGAACGCUGGCGGCGUGCUUAACACAUGCAAGUCGAACGCUGAAGCUCAGCUUUUGUUGGGUGGAUGAGUGGCGAACGGGUGAGUAACACGUGAGUAACCUGCCCCCUUCUUUGGGAUAACGCCCGGAAACGGGUGCUAAUACUGGAUAUUCACUGGUCUUCGCAUGGGGGUUGGUGGAAAGGGUUUUUCUGGUGGGGGAUGGGCUCGCGGCCUAUCAGCUUGUUGGUGGGGUGAUGGCCUACCAAGGCUUUGACGGGUAGCCGGCCUGAGAGGGUGACCGGUCACAAUGGGACUGAGAUACGGCCCAGACUCCUACGGGAGGCAGCAGUGGGGAAUAAUGCACAAUGGGCGCAAGCCUGAUGCAGCGACGCCGCGUGAGGGAUGGAGGCCUUCGGGUUGUGAACCUCUUUCGCUCAUGGUCAAGCCGCAACAAUGGUUGUGGUGAGGGUAGUGGGUAAAGAAGCGCCGGCUAACUACGUG